GCAGGCGUAGUUUAAACAAGACAUUGGAUUGUGAUUCCGAAAAUAGGGGUUAGACCCCCCUCGUCCGCC
rnacentral:tRNA from 1 species